GGAGCGUAGCGCAGCCUGGUUAGCGCACCAGUCUGGGGGACUGGGGGUCGGAGGUUCAAAUCCUCUCGCUCCG
rnacentral:tRNA from 1 species